rnacentral:rRNA from 1 species
GGCACGAAAGCAUGGGGAGCAAACAGGAUUAGAUACCCUGGUAGUCCAUGCUGUAAACGAUGUCGAUUUGAAGGUUGUAGCCUUUUGAGCCAUGGCUUUCGAAGCUAACGCGUUAAAUCGACCGCCUGGGGAGUACGACCGCAAGGUUAAAACUCAAAUGAAUUGACGGGGGCCCGCACAAGCGGUGGAGCAUGUGGUUUAAUUCGAUGCAACGCGAAGAACCUUACCUACUCUUGACAUCCAGAGAAUUUAGCAG